GUGGCGGCCAAAGAAUGUGUAGAGGUUAUGAUGUAUUAGUGGUAGUUAGUGGUGGUGCUAGUUGUGAUAGAUGAGUUGGUUGGUAGUAGAGAUUGGCCGGUAGUGGUUGUUGAUUGUGUUGUUGUUGACGGUAGUGGUGGCGAUGAAUAUAAUUAGAAUAAAAGAGGUAUAGAUGUAGUAGCGGUUAACAAUUGUGGUUGGUAGGGGUAUU
rnacentral:lncRNA from 1 species